GUGCUUGCUUUGGCAGCCCAUAAAUCUGGAAAGAUACAUAGAUUAGCAUAGGCCCUGUGCAAGGAUAACACACCAAUGUGCAAAGUGUUACAUAUUUUU
ensembl:snRNA U6 U6 spliceosomal RNA